CCGCCUGAGCAUAAUACACUUAAAGCUUGGCACUGUACUGCACCUUUUUGGUGGACUGAGUGGGGGGGAAAAGGUGGUUUAGGCCCUGGCCUUGGGCUUUGGCGCGGCGGCGGGGCUUGUAAAGGACAAGAUGGCGUUGGCGAGGUGUGCUGGCGGCCCUCCCUGUGAUGAGGACCUUUUCACAGACCUGUACUGAGCUCCGUGAGGAUAAGUAGCUCUGAGGAGACGGGCCCUGAACAGUCGCUUGGGAAAGAGAAGUGUUUGCGAAAUACCCAGUGUUAAUCUUUUCUGUUGCUUUUUUCUUUUGUCUGCAGGGUUCAGGCACACAUCUGAGUUGAAAAGGACCCUCUGUUUGUUGAAAUGUUCAGCUUAAAAGAGCUUACUGGUGGGAGGAUGGGACAAGACCCACCCUUCUGCACAUGGCCGGUGAUACAAGGCCUUGGAAGAGCAUGUGGUACUACACCUAGAUAACACCCUUUCAUGUUGCUCUACAGAUUGAGCUUUACAGUGAUGCUCCAGUGUAUCCUUACCAAUCCUGAGGAGGUCACCCACCCCCUGGACACAUGCAGAUUAGGAUGCCUGAUGAUACUGUAUUCAUCUAUCUACUGAACCAACUGAUACUCUCAGGAUCCAACUGCUAGAAUGAGCUGAAAGUGAAGCAGCUUGCCGAACAAGACUCCAGCAUUAAGAGGUGCAGUUAUCAUUAAGCCACUUACUGACUAAAAGGGUGUCCAGUAUUUUGCCUGGAGCCCAAGCAGUGAUACAAGGGAAACUUUAGGUGUAUUUCUGCUCAACUCCAGUCUACAGUUAAGAGGAGUUCAAAAUCUUGGAGAACAUUUCAAAAGGAGAAAUUCCAAGGCAUUUCCUACACAACCUAAGUGUUCAAAUUAAACCUUUUUACUGUCUCCAAAUCAA